UUGUUGACAGCAGACUAGGUGUCCUGCAGCUAUGCUGUCUUUCUGUUUGCAGGCCAAUUUUACACAGCUGCUUUCUUCUGGAAAUCAUGCCUCAUUUGAAGCCUUUGGAUAAAUAA
ensembl:lncRNA